rnacentral:lncRNA from 1 species
GGGGGGAUCCCGGGGCCGGGGGGAGGCAUCCCCGGCGCUGACCCCCCUCGGGAAGGGCGGCAGGGCUUCGGCAAGACCCCAAAUUCCCUGUGGCUGCUGCCUGUCCGUGCCUCGGCGGGAGCGGCAGCACCGGCGGCGGAGCCGAGCCCGGAGCCCAGCAGCAGCAGCAGUGGCCAGCACUGAGAUUGAGCAGGAUGGAGUGGCCUGGCCAAGCCGUGGCCCCGCUGGCAAGAGCUGCAGAGUGGACAGCAGAGGGAACACAGCUUGGUGGUGAAGGUGCUGUUCUCCUGAAAGAGGAUCCUGGCAAAAACAUGGCUUGGUGCCGGGGACGGCACGCCGAAGGCAAGACAGCGGCAGACACUUGAAUGGAGGCUCCUCGUGUUUGCAGCCUGGUCACACGAGUGACUGAGACCCGAAAUCUGCCUGACAUCCUCCCUGGAUGCUUGGCCUUGGAACAGCCUCAUUCAUGCCACACCUGCUCCCUUCCGUUCGCGGAGCCUUCUGUGCUGCACUGGACACUGGAAAAGCACUUGGAGAUGGCUGGAGAAGGAAUGGGACUUCCUGGAAAAUGGUCUCUAAACCAGGCCCUUCCCUGUGCCAUGGCUUUUCUGGGGCUCAUUAAUAUCAGUGGUUCCUGCUGGAGGAACUCUGUCACCUUCCCUGAGGCAGCAGAGCUGAGGCCAGACGUGGUGUGUGCUGCUUGUGCAUCAGACACGAGUAAUAACAAGUUUGGAGGAACUGUACCACUUAAUAAAAGCAUUUUAUUACAUUUAAAUGUAUUAAAAUGUGAACAUUAAAUUCAAUGCGCUAAUUACCGCUCCCAGGCAUUGCCGCUGACAGGAAAUGGAUCCUCACAAUUGCUCUGCUGAGAUCACUCACUGCUGUUACUGCUCUUUGGUUCCUGGUGUGUUAUUAGUGCUCUGCAUUUGGGACUUGAGUCAUUAACAAAAAGGACUGGUGUUGGGCAUUAUGUAAAUUCUGUAUGUUUUCACAGCUACCGGGGCCUGUGUUAUGUGUCUCAUUGACAAAAAGAAAAGCAAAUGCAUUUGGCUCUGCCCUGGCUUGUGGGCGAGGGAUCUCAGGGGUCACCCAGGCACAGAGAGGGAAAACCUCUUCAUAACACAUCUCUGUGUUUCUGCAAAUCCCUUUCCAGGGCAAUUUGUGUCCCCCCCACCCCACUUGCUGCAUGUGCCAUGACACCCCACAACGAACACCAACAAUUCCUGCUCUGAAGGAGUUUCCCACUUUUCUGGGAGCCAGGGGCUUCCCAUUCCUGCAGCAGGCAUGCGCGGCACAUGGAUCCAUUGCCCUGGAAAACUGGGAAAGCCUGCCAGGGGUCUCUGGUAGGUGAGAGGCCUGUGGCCAAGCGCUCAGCUCCAUGAGGCCAAUCCCACAUGUUCUGGAAUAUGGUUACUUCCCAGAGGAAAGGGGGAUGCUAGAGGACACGUGGCUGCCUCCCUAAAUGAAAAAGAGUGUAAAGCUGUUCAGAUUAGUGCACAUCAAUCCCUGCACUGGAAUCAAGAGAUGCUUUGGUUUGGCAGCACUGGGGACAAAGCCACCAUUUCGUUCAAAGUGGACUUAAUGCGACAGAAGGAGGCAGCUUCCUUUGACAGUUUUACAGCUCUUAUCAGAUUACAUCAAAAUUAAAUUAAAACAAUCUAAAAGAAGUGUGAAGUACUGCAGGGAGAACACAAAUAAAACACUCCUCUUUGUAGGCUUUCA